CGCAUCUGUGCAUGCAGCAUAUCAAUAAGCGGAGGAAAGGAAACUAACAAGGAUUCCCUUAGUAACGGCGAGUGAAGCGGGAAGAGCUCAAAUUUGAAAUCUUCAAGGUUUUACCUUGACGAAUUGUAGUUUAAAGAAGUGUUUUCUGUUGAAGUUUUGGUAAAAGUUCUUUGGAAUAGGACAUCAUAGAGGGUGAGAAUCCCGUAUUUGACCAUUAUUUUCAGCUGUGUGAUACACUUUCAAAGAGUCGGAUUGUUUGGGAAUGCAGUCCAAAAUGGGUGGUAAAUUUCAUCUAAAGCUAAAUAUUGGCGAGAGACCGAUAGCGAACAAGUACCGUGAGGGAAAGAUGAAAAGAACUUUGAAAAGAGAGUUAAACAGUACGUGAAAUUGUCAAAAGGGAAGCGUUUGACACCAGUGUUGUUUUCUCGAAAAUCAAUUAAAAAGAGUUAGAUUUUGUUGUGUAUUGACCUUAACAGCUUGCAUUUCAAUUUUCUUGCUUUUUUUAAUGCACUUUUCGUUUAACAAGUCAACAUCAGUUUCUUUUGUUGUAAAAAGGUCAUUGGAAGGUGGCUUUCUUUUCGGAGAAAGUGUUUAUAGCCUUUGACUCCUGCAAUCGGAGAGACUGAGGUCUGCAGCGUAGAUCCUUCGGGGUUAGAUACAUUUGUGCUAAGUUAUAGCUUUUUAUAGACAACUUGUUGACUAUGAUUAGUCUUGUAGCUUACUCGCUUGCGCUAUUUUACCUACGCUUAGGAUGUUGAUGUGAUACUGCGAGCA
rnacentral:rRNA from 1 species